GGAGCUUUCAACCCUCCCCACAUGACCACUUGGUUGAUAUUUAAGGCAGGAGAAAUGCCACUUCCUCUAUUCCUGGACAACUGUCACAGCAGGUGACCAUCCUUGCAGUGUCACAGGAUGCCAUCAGGCCAGGAGGCACAGUAUCUGUCGUGUUCACUGUGCUGCAUGAAAACGAGGAUCAAGUCCCUGAUGGUAUGGGACCUUUCCUGAGAACUCACACACUGAGAGGAACCAAGACGAGGAGCUGCAGCAGUCGAGUAACCAAUCGCUACAGCGGUCAAAAAGGAACAGAAGGAGUGGCCUUCCUGCCUUAAAUAUCAACCACAUGGUCGCCUGGGGCGGGUUGGAAGUGCCACAAGGAGCUGUGGUACUCCACGACAAGAGUGUUUCAUGGAGGCGCAGAACCCAUUACUAAUGGAGCUCAACAGAUCACGACCCAGAUCCAAGAGUAGACUCAUGCGUAGUCAAGGUCCAGGCUGGCCCUCAAGAAAAAGUGGACAGCUGCCCUAUCAGUACAAAAGGAACAAAUGCUCUGGUAGAGAAUUUCUUUAGCAUACUCCACAGACUGUAUCGCUUCAGAACUUUUGCUUUAUGAAAAGCAUGGUAUAUUGUCUUUGCAACAGUUUAAUGGGAUUGUUCCCAUGUUCCUGGGAUUACCAGCAACUCUUCAAUCUCCUUUUCAGGCAGAAAUAUUGGGAAGGAAAUACAAAAGGGAGGAGCCAUUCUCUGCUGAUCUUUAACUUUUUUUUUUAACAUACACUAAUUUGCCAAAGCUUGAUAUGGCUUCCAGUUUCUAUUAAGCAGCAGGAACUCAGGAGGAACAUUGCCAAGUCUCCCACUUGCUGUCUCCCAUUUGCUCUAUAUAUAACAAUUCAUGGCAAGAAACAUGCUUAACCUUCAGUUUAACUUGUCCAUUCAGAUUUCCAUUAAUUUGUUAGCUUGUUUGUCUGAAUUUGAUGAUUCUUUUGAACACUAAGAUACUGUAAUGGAAUUUGGCACAAAUGUGCAGGACAUAAUUCUAUAUUUCAAGGUAAAAUACCAGCUCAAUUCUCACACUUGAAAGGGGAAAAAUUGUAAUACACAAUGCAAUGUAAUAUCUCCAUUGAAGAUCGAGACAAUGGUAUCAACAUUUGUAUGUUCACAGUAUAUUCAAGUACAUUUUAUCGCAGGACCCAUUUUCAAAGGGGAGGAAAAUACAUAUUGCAAUGUAAUAUCUGGAGCGAGAACUCUCAAACACUGUACUUUCUU